GCUCCUGCCUGUGAUUGGCAAGUCUGAAAUCGUUCCGGGGGGGUGGGGGGGAACGUAUCACAUCAAGAACAGGAAGACUCUUGUUUGGUGCCAGAGCAGCUUGAAAUCUGGUCCAGAAUAUUUUAUCAAAAAGAGAAAAAAGAAAAAGCUCUGACUUGGGAUUCUCUCUUCUGAGCAAGACAAUUGCAAUCUGCUUCAAGCUUUAGAGCUAAUGGUACCACCCACUGAGUCCCCUUUUGGACCUAUGAAUAGGGACAAUUCUCACAGUUUUAAAGUGGCCCCUAACUGUGCCAUAGGCACAGUGAUACAUCGAGUCAAGCUACUAGAGGCAGCUGGGCCACACCCUCCUGGGAGGGACUUCUGAAUUCCUGAUGGCUGUUUUCAUCUGACUUUUGGAAAGUUUCCUGCAUCCAGGUUCCAGCCUUGGGUUCCUGCCUGACUUUCUGAAUUAUAAGAUGAAAUGGAGGAACAAGAUGAACCAGAGAUCUGGCAAGAGGCAUCUAACAGUACCAUCGAAGACAGUGGCUCCCUACAGACCCUUAGCCCACCUCUGAUACAUUCACGCUCAUGGUGUUUUACCACAGAUGCCUCACACUUCACAAACCUGUCAAUUCCAGUACAUAUCAUCUUGAACUAUG
rnacentral:lncRNA from 1 species